rnacentral:lncRNA from 1 species
UGAAUACUUUGAAUAUUUUCCUUUGGAUAUUGUGAGCAAUUUUCAACAGCAAUUAUUUAAAAUAUUUAUGAAAAAAACUGGAUAAGUCUGUCAUCUGAAAAACAUGUAGGUAGGUAUCAAAAUGUCUGUUUCUGGAGAUUGAGUCUCAUACCAGAAAAAUCCCCCAAAACAAUUGGAUGGCCUGCAUCAAAGCUAUUUAAAAAAUCCAGAUAGAAAGUGCUCCAGGAAUAUCUAAGUAAGGAGAAUAGGAGAAGAGCCAAGAGAGGAGGAGAAAGGGAAAAUGAGGAAGAAGUAGAAGGAGAAAGAAAGAGAAAGACCUAGAGAGACAGGGAGACGUAGUUGGCCACACACAGCAAGAGACCAGUGAUGACAGUGAGGCAGACAUUGGGGCCAUGGGGAGUUGUGUGAGCUACAGAAUGCCUGGCUCUGCUCUGAACAAGACCUGGAGGUCUUUACGUUUCUAACUGCCCGGGAGGGUGAAUGUCAACAGACUUUUGCAGAAGAACAAUGAGCUGAGAGUGAGUCUGAAUCAUUUGCCUUCCAUGUGUCAUCCAAUCACAGCUGCUAACACCUGCAGUGGCUCUGCAACCAUGAGCUGGGAAUAAUACAAAGUCAUGUUCUCACCAUACUUGCCCAGAGGACCUGGGCCUGGAUGGAAGAGCUUCAUUGUAGGAGAAGGUUAUUGACAGAUGAGAAGUAUUUAUCCAAUAUGUCUUUGUUCUAUGACUCUUAUCAGCCCAGCUAGAGG